CUCACGUAUAUACGGUUACGAUUUUAAAUUCCACCAACUGCACACUGUCCACGCUAAAUUACAGUACAUUAUAUUGUUUUCCCUAGCGAAACUAGCUGCAUGGAAUUAAAGAAAAUUGUAAAAAAGUGAACGCACCUGCUCGCUUAUAGAGAUGAUCGCCCUGCUUGCGGUGCGCUUCGCCGUCCUUGGAUUAGCACAGUCACCCCCGUAUUCUUAAACACGCCUUCACUUGAAGCUUCUCCUCGACUCAGCCAAGUCGAGGCGACGGGGCUUCCUUCACUCAAGGCGCCGUUGCGUUUCAUGAACACUACUUCACCUUUCCUCCGCCAAGGAACGCCUUGAAAAUGCGCCCUCGACUCAAGUGAAGUGUAUCGACCGAGAAAAGUGUCUGAUAUCGAGACUAUUCUUGAAUGUGCAUAUUAAAAGCCCAUUAUUUAAGACAAAUAUGUGUUUCAGUUCAUUCUUCUUCCUAAUCAAACAACUACACGGCGCAAUGCACAACUUUACCUCGGCAACGCUGCCACUGUGAGCGUUCGACUGAUAGAGCAAGCAGGAGCUGUGUUUGAGGUCUGGCAACAAUCGCAUCCGAACAGCUGAGAGCAUGGCGCACGGCUGAGAACCAAGAUAAUUUGCGCCGGCAUUUUUCCGCUGCUCUUUGUUUCCUAGUGUUUCAUUGGUGACUGACGCUGCGGUUGUUAAUCGUGGUUAUGAUGGGUGAUGUUGUCCUUGUGCGUAUGGUGACCGAGCCUGAAUGACUUCUGAGGCCACAGAUGGAACGGACGAUGGGCAGCUUUGUUUACCUUCAAGACGGAGUGGUGCUGUGAGCUUGCUGAAAGCAACAACAAGACAAAAAAUAUGGGAUGUGGUCCUUGGAAGGACCAGCUGAUGAAAAAAUCAACGCCUGUGUUGCACAGUAAGGCUUCUGGCAGACCGGAAAGCAUCGAUAGAAAUGGUGCCUGUCUGUUGGAAUUGCACCAGCUCGCUUCCCUGAAAGAAGCUAGGUGCUGAAGAAGUACUUGACUAACCUACGCGCAUUGUCAUUGUGACAGUCUGCAUCACCAUUUGGCCUAUUUUGAUAUCCCGCAAGGCACGCUGCUACCCUGGGUGUUGUACCUCGGUCAAUUGCUGAAGUUCUGCAAGCCCCAUUGAAGCCAACACUCAUCCGCGUCCGAUGGAAGAAACUCAUUGUUCGGGCCGUCAUAAUUUAUCUUAAGCUGAUGCUAGAAGCAAGGUAGAAAAAGCAUAUAUUCUACAAGAAUUUACCACUGCAUGCCGUCGGGUGGCUACACCCGACAGGCUACUGUCUUCAACAGAGAUGGUGUUUUAUUCUAGAAUAUAUUUGUCAGCAGUACUA